rfam:Methylomicrobium alcaliphilum str. 20Z chromosome, complete genome.
GAUGGUAGGUCCAUCAAAGUCUGUUGUCGGAAACCGGCUUUAAACCACCUCAAGCUGCUUGUAUUAAGAGUGCAGGUAGUGAGCGUUGAGGAAAAGCUAAUUCAUAAUUAGCAGGU